CUCCAAGGCUAAAUACUCCUGACUGACCGAUAGUGAACCAGUACCGUGAGGGAAAGGCGAAAAGAACCCCGGCGAGGGGAGUGAAAAAGAACCUGAAACCGUGUACGUACAAGCAGUGGGAGCCUCUCUUUAUGGGGGGUGACUGCGUACCUUUUGUAUAAUGGGUCAGCGACUUAUAUUCUGUAGCAAGGUUAACCGAAUAGGGGAGCCGAAGGGAAACCGAGUCUUAACUGGGCGUUAAGUUGCAGGGUAUAGACCC
rnacentral:rRNA from 1 species